UACGAAGGGGGCUAGCGUUGCUCGGAAUCACUGGGCGUAAAGGGCGCGUAGGCGGGUCGUCAAGUCGGGGGUGAAAUCUUUCCGCUCAACGGGAAAAGUGCCUCCGAUACUGACGACCUCGAGGGGGGUAGGGGCAUGUGGAACUUCCGGUGGAGCAGUGAAAUGCGUAGAUAUCGGAAGGAACGCCGGUGGCGAAAGCGACGUGCUGGACCCCUUCUGACGCUGAGGCGCGAAAGCCAGGGGAGCGAACGGG
rnacentral:rRNA from 1 species